AACUGUUAAGUUAUAGAAAUGAGGAAGGAGAAGACCAGAAGGGGAAGACAGUCUGUCAAGACUUCCGCAAAAUGCUGACGUUCCUGGAUUUUAGAACCAUAAAGAUCUAUUAGUAAGCUUGCUAAGAACUGAAAGCUUAAGUUUUCUGUGCGUCACAUUGAGAAAUGCAAAUGCCUGGGACCCGCCAGUGUAAUAACUAACUGUACCACUUGUUACUGCCUUUCCAGGAAGCUAAAGAAGUCAUAUCCUACACACCUGGAAGUUACCUAGGAAGCAACAUUUAACCAGGAAAACAACAAACCCCUCAUCUGGAUUUUGUGGCAUUCGUGCUCCUACCUGACACUGGUUAAUAGCUGCGUGGUUGCCAUGGAAUGGAGACUGUCUUUCUUUAUCUCGAUGAUGCCGACUGCUGUGUUUACUUCUCUGCAAUUGCUGGCGUAAUUUUGCAAUCUGAAAAUGAGAAAAAUAACAA